UACGUAGGGAGCAAGCGUUGUCCGGAAUUAUUGGGCGUAAAGAGCUCGUAGGCGGUGUGUCACGUCGGCCGUGAAAACCUGCAGCUUAACUGUGGGCGUGCGGUCGAUACGGGCAUCACUGGAGUUCGGCAGGGGAGACUGGAAUUCCUGGUGUAGCGGUGAAAUGCGCAGAUAUCAGGAGGAACACCAAUGGGCGAAGGCAGCUCGCUGGGACGGUACUGACGCUGGAGACGCGAAAGCGUGGGGAGCGAACAGG
rnacentral:rRNA from 1 species